rnacentral:rRNA from 1 species
UACGGAGGAUGCGAGCGUUAUCCGGAUUUAUUGGGUUUAAAGGGUGCGUAGGCGGACGCUUAAGUCAGCGGUAAAAUUGCGGGGCUCAACCUCGUCGAGCCGUUGAAACUGGGUGUCUUGAGUGGGCGAGAAGUACGCGGAAUGCGUGGUGUAGCGGUGAAAUGCAUAGAUAUCACGCAGGACUCCGAUUGCGAAGGCAGCGUACCGGCGCCCAACUGACGCUGAAGCACGAAGGCGUGGGUAUCGAACAGG